ensembl:lncRNA
CCCCGGGGUAAUGUCCCCGGGGCCGUAGAGAGAGGGGACCAAGUUGUGUUCAUUUCCUCUCAUGCCACACAUCCCCAAAUCCCCAAAUCCCACACACACACACACACACACACACACACACACACACAUGAAGCAUCAUUUAAAUAACUUAGCACCGAUUGCUGCAAGGCUUACAAUUUUGAAACUAAAAAGGGAAAAAGAGAAAUAAAUACAAAUAAAUUCAUAAAGUCAAAUUUACAAUUAAAGCCUUGGAUUUUCAAGAACAUCCUAUCAGGGUUUGCCAAACUGCAUUCAAUCUUGCCUCGACCAAUAGAAAGGUGCAGGCUGAUCAUUAGGUUGAAAGUGUGCAGGAAGGGCAGUGAGUCAGCUGAUGUAGAGGCUCCUCCCACUCCGCAAUGUAGAGGCUCCUCCCCCUACGGUAUGCAGAGGCUCCUCCCACUACGGUAUGCAGAGGCUCCUCCCACUACGGUAUGCAGAGGCUCCUCCCACUACUGUAUGCAGAGGCUCCUCCCACUAUGGUAUGCAGAGGCUCCUCCCACUACGAUAUGCAGAGGCUCCUCCCACUACGGUAUGCAGAGGCUGAGCUCCUGGAGAAACCUGUAAAACUUUCCCUCUCGGGCGGAGCUCUGAGAUUGUUAUACACAAGUCAGAGUUGUACGUUGAAAAAAAUGCAAUACAUUAAAUGUACACACACACACACACACACACACACACACACACACACAAACAAACACAAACAAGGAUCACACAUAUACUUUAAGUUAUACAUUUUGUGUUGUAAUCUAUCCAUAUAUAUAUAUACACAUAAACAUUAUAAUAUAAACGUACAAAACGUAUUCAAGGACGACUGACAAGCUUAACAUCUGAUAAAGACAACUGGUAAACACCUAUAGGCACACAGAUCGAUCCAGCGAGAUACAGUGGUACACAACAUCAACAUCUCCUAGAGGGGGUCUUCACUGACCCCGUCCUCCUCAGCGGACAUCUUGGUUCGAAAUGCCAUCUGGGAGGUGAAUGUGGGGGUCCACCAAGGACAUAUUAUAGAAUGGAGACCGGAUUCCAAAAUGGCGCCCAUAGAUUCCUAUGUAAACUGCUCGAUGGCGCAGGGCAACAUCAAGGAGAGCUAUGCUUCUGCAUCAUGGGAGCCUAGCCACGCCCUAGUUCAAUAUUCCCCCACCCCCACCCCACCCCGUCAACAAACCAGCGCAAGGCGGUAAGGUCUUCACUCCCCCCUCAACAACUUCAAGAGACCCCCACAAAGAUUGAAUCAUAACUCAAACCCUGCAUGGAAGUAGUAAAUGCCGGGCCGAAACAACAUUUGUUUCAGUACGACUCCUUUCAGCUGCCCACCCCUCCUUCUCCAGCAAAAAAAUAUGAUAUAAAACGUCUAAUAAAACGCUUGAGGUGCGGUUUGAAAAGAGAAAACUUAAAUUUUCUUAGCACAUGGCAUAAAGAUAAUUAUGAGCCUUUGAUUGAUAUCCAGACAUUUUUUGCGGAGACACAUUCCUGUUCCCCACUUGUAUUGGAGUGAACGGAGAUAUCUACUUCUGGGUCCCUUGAAUCGAGGGACCCGUCCACAGCCCGCUUAGUAUGCGCAGUGUUCCCGGGGGCUUGGGGUCCACGCUCACCUCCCAGAUAGUGUUUGGAACCAAGAUGGCCGGCAUGUGAGUAAAACCUGGUGUCAAACACGCUAUUGGCUAAGACAAGAGCAGAGCAAGAUGGGAAGGCACACGCACACAGAACGGACAAGAGCACUGAGAACCAACACAUUCAUGGCUGAACACAAGGGCAGCAGGUAACAUGGCACACCUACAGGCGUCACAUUUAUGUACAGAUACGUUCCUGUCCAGACCCCCUCCACUUCAACCUCCACCACCACCACCUCCACCACCACCAGCACCACCACCUCUACCUCCUCCACCACCACCCCCACCACCACCAUCACCAUCACCACCACCACCACCACCACCACCACCACCACCACCACC